rnacentral:lncRNA from 1 species
GUUGAUGUGUUACCCCUCUCAGACAGUGUGUUGAUGUGUAACCCCUCUCAGGCAGUGUGUGUGUGUGUGAUGUGUAACCCCUCUCAGACAGUGUGGUGGUGAUGUGUACCCCUCUCAGACAGUGUGUGUGAUGUGUAACCCCUCUCAGGCAGUGUGUGUGUAGUGAUGUGUAACCCCUCUCAGGCAGUGGUGUGUGUAUGGUAUGUACCCCUCUCAGUGUGUGUGUGAUGUGUAACCCCUCUCAGACAGUGUUGUGUGAUGUGUAACCCCUCUCAGCAGUGGUGUGUGUGAUGUGUAACCCCCUCAGGCAGUGUGUGUGUGAUGUGUAACCCCUCUCAGGCAGUUGUGUGUUGUGAUGUGUAACCCCUCUCAGGCAGUGUGUGAUGUGUAACCCCUCUCAGACAUGUGUGUGUGAUGUGUAACCCCUCUCAGACAGGGUGUGUGUGAUGUGUAACCCCUCUCAGACAGUGUGUGUGGAUGUGUAACCCCUCUCAGACAGUGUGUGUAUGUUGAUGUGUAACCCUCUCAGACAGUGUGUGUGUGAUGUGUAACCUCUCAGACAGUGUGUGGGUAUUGAUGUUAACCCCCUCAGACAGUGUGUGUGUAUGUUGAUGUGUAAACCCCUCUCAGACAGUGUGUGUGUGAUGUGUAACCCC